ACCGGAGGCGCCGGCCCUCCUCCCGCUCCCAAACUUGGAGCACUUGACCUUUGGCUGUCGGUGGAGGCAGGCCCACGGGU
rnacentral:miRNA from 1 species